GCCUGCUCCGUCGCUGUGCGCCUUUGCGAGGGCGGAGCUGCGUUCUUCCCAGCACAGACAAGGAGAGUAUCGCCAGGGCGGAGCUGAGUUCUCUGCACAGACUUCAGAGAUACAGCGAAGGUGGAGCAGGGUUCUCCUCAGCACAGACCCAGGCGGGCCGGGGGCACCGCGAGGGCGGAGCUGCGUUCUGCUCAGCACAGACCCGGGGGACACCGCUAAGGGAUCAUGGCACAAAUUGCAGUUUCCACCCUGCCCAUGGAAGAUGAGGAGUCCAUGGAAGAUGAGGAGUCCAUUGAAGAUGAGGAGUCUGUUGAAGAUGAUUCCGUGGAGAGCAGGAUGGUGGUGACAUUUCUCAUAUCAGCUCUCGAGUCCAUGGACACCUGAUUCCCUUCUUCCUGCCCUUGGACAUGAGACUCCAGGUUCUUAUGCCUUUGGACUCUGGGACUUGCACCAGCGGCUUCCCCGAGGCUCUCAGGCCCUCGGCCUCAGACUGAAGACUGCACUGCGGGCUUUCCUGGUUUUGAGGCUUUUGGACUUGGACUGAGCCACUACUAGCUUCUCUCUUUCCCUACCUGGCAGACAGCCUAUUGUGGGACUGCCUUCUAACCGUGUGAACCAAUUCUCUCUGGCUACAUCACUGGUCUUUUAUUUGUGGCUAAAUAAAUGUUGUGUUAGAAGAGUAAAGAGUUCCCAGUUACAUGGGAUCUAUAGUUCUACAAAAUGAAUGUAUACAUAAUCCAUGGAGCUUAUAGCUUCAUUGCACUGUGUGUGGCAUUUGGGUCCUGUUUGACAGCAAUGACUGCCUUUCUGUUUAGUGUCUGUGUGCUAUGAAGAUUGCACACAGGGGUCCAAAUGCAUCCUGUUUUGAGAAUGUCAAUGGAUACACCAGUUGCUGCUUUGGAUUUCACUGGUUGGUGGUAGUUGACCCACUGUUUGGAAUGCAGCCAAUUUAAGUGAAGACAUAUCCAUAUAUGUGGCUCUGUUACAGUGGUGAAAUCUGCAACCAUAAGAAGGUAGGGAAAAAGAAGCCAGAUGUCUGGAUGUGAUUAAACUUCAGAGCUUGUUGAUUACGAUGAUAUUAUAUAUUCUGUAUCAUGCUUUUUACUUUGGAAAGCAUUCUAUGUUAUCUCAUUUGCUCUAAGUAUGUAGAUAGGGAACUGAUGAAUAAAAUGGUGAGUGAAAUCACUUGGUCAC